rnacentral:rRNA from 1 species
UACGUAGGGUGCGAGCGUUAAUCGGAAUUACUGGGCGUAAAGCGUGCGCAGGCGGCUUUGCAAGACAGAUGUGAAAUCCCCGGGCUUAACCUGGGAACUGCAUUUGUGACUGCAUGGCUAGAGUGCGGCAGAGGGGGAUGGAAUUCCGCGUGUAGCAGUGAAAUGCGUAGAUAUGCGGAGGAACACCGAUGGCGAAGGCAAUGCCCUGGGCCUGCACUGACGCUCAUGCACGAAAGCGUGGGGAGCAAACAGG